GACAGAGGGGGCAAGCGUUGCUCGGAAUCACUGGGCGUAAAGGGCGCGUAGGCGGGAUGGCAAGUCGGUCGUGAAAUCCUUCGGCUCAACCGAAGAACGUCGGCCGAUACUGCCGUUCUUGAGGGAUGCAGAGGAGAUUGGAAUUCCCGGUGUAGCGGUGAAAUGUGUAGAGAUCGGGAGGAACACCGGUGGCGAAGGCGGUUCUCUGGGCAUGAUCUGACGCUGAGGAGCGAAAGUGUGGGGAGCGAACAGG
rnacentral:rRNA from 1 species